GACACCAUAGCCGACUGGUCACGGUAACAGACAAGAAAUCUGUUUCCUUGUGAGGAUGCAGACAGGAAAUCUGCUCCUCUUCGGGAGUGCAGGUUCGAAUCCCGCUGGUGUGU